ACAGAGGGCUGGAUGGCCGCGGGGGCGCAAGCCCGCGAGGAAAGUCCGGACUCCACAAGGCAACGGUGCCGGGUAACGCCCGGCCGGGGAAACCCGAGGGAAAGCGCCACAGAGAACAGACCGCCACUGCUUGCAGGGGUAAGGGUGAAACGGUGGAGUAAGAGACCACCGCGCUGAUGGUAACAUCGGCGGCACGGCAAGCCCCACCGGGAGCAAUGCCAAAUAGGGAUCGCGCGUGGCCUUGGCCACAGGGGUGUCUUGCCCCGAGCAGAUCCGGGUUGGCAGCUAGAGGGGUUUCGGUAACGGAAUCCCAAGAUGAAUGGUCAUCCAGGAGAGGGAACUCUCUGGACAGAAUCCGGCUUAUAGGCCCUCUGUGCAU
rfam:Phaeobacter sp. CECT 7735 genome assembly, contig: 0001